rnacentral:rRNA from 1 species
GAUGAACGCUGGCGGCGUGCCUAAUACAUGCAAGUCGAGCGAACGGACGAGAAGCUUGCUUUUCUGAUGUUAGCGGCGGACGGGUGAGUAACACGUGGAUAACCUACCUAUAAGACUGGGAUAACUUCGGGAAACCGGAGCUAAUACCGGAUAAUAUUUUGAACCGCAUGGUUCAAAAGUGAAAGACGGUCUUGCUGUCACUUAUAGAUGGAUCCGCGCUGCAUUAGCUAGUUGGUAAGGUAACGGCUUACCAAGGCAACGAUGCAUAGCCGACCUGAGAGGGUGGUCGGCCACACUGGAACUGAGACACGGUCCAGACUCCUACGGGAGGCAGCAGUAGGGAAUCUUCCGCAGUAGGCGAAAGCCUGACGGAGCAACGCCGCGUGAGUGAUGAAGGUCUUCGGAUCGUAAAACUCUGUUAUUAGGGAAGAACAUAUGUGUAAGUAACUGUGCACAUCUUGACGGUACCUAAUCAGAAAGCCACGGCUAACUACGUG